UGUUCGUUAUUUAGGGCGCAUGGUGGAUGCCUUGGCAUGCUGGGCCGAUGAAGGACGUGUAAGGCUGCGUUAAGCCUCGGGGAGUUGUCAAUAGAGCGUUGAUCCGAGGAUGU
rnacentral:rRNA from 1 species